rnacentral:hammerhead_ribozyme from 1 species
AUCCAGUUGACGAGUCCCAGAUAGAACGAAACGCGUGUCCUGGAU